GAAACUGUGUUCCAGGUAUUUCCUUCCAGACAUAGCUGGAUGUGUUUGAAGAAAGGCUUAUCGGUAAUCCUUCAGUGGUACUUUGCUCAUAUUCCGUUUGUUUUAGCUGCUGAUAAUCACAGAUCAAUGCAUGUUUGACAAAUACAAGAAGAACAUUGGACUGUAAAAGCUUCUGAAAUAACAGUCCAAACCUAUAUGGUUCUCCGUUCAGGGUAAACACCUACAGCUGGUCAAACUGCAGCCAGAAUGAUAACUGCUGGGAAAUAACGCUGUCUGUGGCCUUCACCCUUCAGCGUGUGUCUGUUAUUAAAAAGCAUACCUUUUAAUCCCAACAGGUCGAAUCCAUUUUCAGCGUGAUCAGAUGAAGUAUCAGUUCAGUACACUUUGCUUGACACCACUAAACGAUCCAACUUCUAUUUGCUCUUUUUAGUUUCUGUAUCAUCAAAACUUUGAGGCUAAUUACUUUUUGCAGGACUACAGUAUUAAAUCCCUAAGAGAACUUAGACGAGCUAUAAUUGGAUGCAUUUCUAAUUUUGGCACCUUUUUGUUCUUGCGAUUGAGCAUGGAAAGUCAUCAGCCAUCAAGUCAAAAGCUUGAGGUCAAUUCGUACCAUAGAGCGUGUGUUUUUAAUUGUACUGGAAGGGAAAAUAAGACUAAAAAUUUCUCUCAGUACAACACAGAGUGAUAAUCUCAGUCUUGGGAAGAUCAGUUCACUUCCUUUCCCCUUUGAAUUCACUUUGGAUCUAUUUAAUGUGCUCCACUUUCUGUUAGUUUUUUUUUUUUUUACUCUCCUUAGGUCCCUAGAGAAGUCUCACUGCGCUCCACCUGACCAGCAGAAGCACAGAGCUGCUUUUCAAGAAAAAUUGCGCUGUUCACAAACAGAGAGGAGGAAGAUGUGCGGAGACUGCAGAGAUGAGAAGAUUGAGAUACCUCAAGAUCAGUCUAUUCCCACCUGGAUAUGGUUUCUUCUGUGAUAAAAUCUCCCACAUCACAAUCCCAAAGCUGUGGAUCAAAGCAGAAGGAGACAGCUGAGUCCUGGCAUCCUGUAACUUCUCUCUUCAAUUCUUAGUUGAAUUUUAUUUGGACUCCAUUUGCUUCCACUUCACCCAGGUUAAUAACCACCUUCAGGCUGCCCUGGGAUGGAAGGGCAUCACCGGGAUCAACACUCUUUCCCACGUUCAGACUCAUUUCUGCUGUGUAGUUGCCAGUGCCACAUGAGUCAUCUGAAACUUCUGUAACACUAACAAAAAAAAAA